rnacentral:rRNA from 1 species
UACGUAGGGACCAAGCGUUGUUCGGAUUUACUGGGCGUAAAGGGCGCGUAGGCGGCAACUCAAGUCAGCUGUGAAAUCUCCGGGCUUAACUCGGAACGGUCAGCUGAUACUGCUUUGCUAGAGUGCAGAAGGGGCAAUCGGAAUUCUUGGUGUAGCGGUGAAAUGCGUAGAUAUCAAGAGGAACACCUGAGGUGAAGACGGGUUGCUGGGCCGACACUGACGCUGAUGCGCGAAAGCCAGGGGAGCGAACGGG